AGAGUUUGAUCCUGGCUCAGGAUGAACGCUAGCGACAGGCUUAACACAUGCAAGUCGAGGGGCAGCGGGGAGGUAGCAAUACUUCCGCCGGCGACCGGCGCACGGGUGAGUAACGCGUAUGCAACCUGCCCUUCACUGGGGGAUAACCGGGAGAAAUUCCGACUAAUACCGCAUACGACACGGGGGCGAUUGCCCCUGGGUUGAAAGAUUUAUCGGUGAAGGAUGGGCAUGCGUGAUAUUAGGUAGUUGGCGGGGUAACGGCCCACCAAGCCGACGAUAUCUAGGGGUUCUGAGAGGAAGGUCCCCCACAUUGGUACUGAGACACGGACCAAACUCCUACGGGAGGCAGCAGUGAGGAAUAUUGGUCAAUGGACGGGAGUCUGAACCAGCCAAGUCGCGUGAAGGAAGACGGCCCUACGGGUUGUAAACUUCUUUAGUGCGGGACCAAAGAGGGGCACGCGUGCCCCGUUGAGUGUACCGCAAGAAUAAGCAUCGGCUAACUCCGUGCCAGCAGCCGCGGUAAUACGGAGGAUGCGAGCGUUAUCCGGAUUUAUUGGGUUUAAAGGGUGCGCAGGCUGUCGUGCAAGUCAGCGGUCAAAUGUCGGGGCUCAACCCCGGCCUGCCGUUGAAACUGCAUGACUGGCGUGAGUGUGAGGUAUGCGGAAUGCGUUGUGUAGCGGUGAAAUGCAUAGAUAUGACGCAGAACUCCGAUUGCGAAGGCAGCAUACCAACACUUUACGGACGCUGAGGCACGAAAGCGUGGGUAUCGAACAGGAUUAGAUACCCUGGUAGUCCACGCAGUAAACGAUGAAUACUAAUUGUUCGGGGGGCAACCCCUGAGUGAUACAGCGAAAGCGUUAAGUAUUCCACCUGGGGAGUACGCCGGCAACGGUGAAACUCAAAGGAAUUGACGGGGGCCCGCACAAGCGGAGGAACAUGUGGUUUAAUUCGAUGAUACGCGAGGAACCUUACCCGGGCUUGAAUUGCAGAGGAAGGAUUUGGAGACAAUGACGCCCUUCGGGGCCUCUGUGAAGGUGCUGCAUGGUUGUCGUCAGCUCGUGCCGUGAGGUGUCGGCUUAAGUGCCAUAACGAGCGCAACCCCUGCGUCCAGUUACCAUCAAGCGAAGUUGGGGACUCUGGACGGACUGCCGGCGCAAGCCGCGAGGAAGGCGGGGAUGACGUCAAAUCAGCACGGCCCUUACGUCCGGGGCGACACACGUGUUACAAUGGCGUGGAACAGCGGGAAGCCACCUGGCGACAGGGAGCGGACCCCUAAAACACGUCUCAGUUCGGAUUGGAGUCUGCAACUCGACUCCAUGAAGCUGGAUUCGCUAGUAAUCGCGCAUCAGCCAUGGCGCGGUGAAUACGUUCCCGGGCCUUGUACACACCGCCCGUCAAGCCAUGGGAGCCGGGGGUACCUGAAGUGCGUAACCGCGAGGAGCGCCCUAGGGUAAAACUGGUGACUGGGGCUAAGUCGUAACAAGGUAGCCGUACCGGAAGGUGCGGCUG
rnacentral:rRNA from 1 species